GACGAACGCUGGCGGCGUGCUUAACACAUGCAAGUCGAACGGUAAGGCCCUUCGGGGUACACGAGUGGCGAACGGGUGAGUAACACGUGGGUGAUCUGCCCUGCACUUCGGGAUAAGUCUGGGAAACUGGGUCUAAUACCGGAUAGGACUCCUGGCUUCAUGGUUGGGGGUGGAAAGCUUUUGCGGUGUGGGAUGGGCCCGGGGCCUAUCAGCUUGUUGGUGGAGUAAUGGCCUACCAAGGCGACGACGGGUAGCCGGCCUGAGAGGGUGACCGGUCACACUGGGACUGAGAUACGGCCCAGACUCCUACGGGAGGCAGCAGUGGGGAAUAUUGCACAAUGGGCGCAAGCCUGAUGCAGCGACGCCGCGUGAGGGAUGACGGCCUUCGGGUUGUAAACCUCUUUCAGCUAUGACGAAGCGCAAGUGACGGUAGUAGCAGAAGAAGGACCGGCCAACUACGUGCCAGCAGCCGCUGUAA
rnacentral:rRNA from 1 species